rnacentral:rRNA from 1 species
GACGAACGCUGGCGGCGUGCCUAAUACAUGCAAGUCGAACGCUUCUUUCCUCCCGAGUGCUUGCACUCAAUUGGAAAGAGGAGUGGCGGACGGGUGAGUAACACGUGGGUAACCUACCCAUCAGAGGGGGAUAACACUUGGAAACAGGUGCUAAUACCGCAUAACAGUUUAUGCCGCAUGGCAUAAGAGUGAAAGGCGCUUUCGGGUGUCGCUGAUGGAUGGACCCGCGGUGCAUUAGCUAGUUGGUGAGGUAACGGCUCACCAAGGCCACGAUGCAUAGCCGACCUGAGAGGGUGAUCGGCCACACUGGGACUGAGACACGGCCCAGACUCCUACGGGAGGCAGCAGUAGGGAAUCUUCGGCAAUGGACGAAAGUCUGACCGAGCAACGCCGCGUGAGUGAAGAAGGUUUUCGGAUCGUAAAACUCUGUUGUUAGAGAAGAACAAGGACGUUAGUAACUGAAC